CACCAAUUUACAUUUCCACCUCAAAAAAUUGCUGAAUAAUACUCCCUCUGGGAGUUCUGAUGCAGAUGUAAGUGAGAGUCUCCAGAUGGAUCAUUCCUGUAUGAGUUUUGGGUCACUCCAACUAACCUCAAUGACAAGACUAUGCAAAGUAAGAUCAGUCAGUCAGAAUGCUGGAGAUAUUUCUUCAUCCCCAAUAAGAUUCAGCCAUCAGUUUGGAAGGCGUGGUGUCUCACUCUCAUCAGCACAAUAUGAACCUGUGUUAUAACAUAACAUUGACUGACACAACAUAGAGCCUGAGACAGAAACUUCUUGAUGCAUAUUUGCCUUGAGUGGGUGAGUUAAAGAAAAGAGAAAGAAAAAGGUGAUGUGUUGUAGUGAAGGUGUGGCCUGGCAGUCUGGAGAAAUCUGUUAUUCCAAGAAGAUGGACCUUCAGACAAGGGAGAAGUCUCUGGAAAAAAGCAGGAUCCAAGUUAUACUAUAAGACAUGCCAUGAGGAUUUAAUGAGAUACUGUCUAUCAAGCACUGGGAAGAAUGUCUAGCACACACUGCAGAGUCAAUAAAGGUGUCCUUUGGAACAGCCAAGACAGAAACAUUUAGAAGUCUCUUUUCACUCCUCUGUGGAAAGUGUGGAAAUGAAUAAUGGACAUAGCUGCUACAACUCCCUUGCCUUAAUCCAACCCAGAUCUCAGCAGAAACCUAACACCAUUCCCGUGACCUUGAAAUUGCACCAGUACUUCAAAUCACCAAAUAAGAGAGAAUCCCAAGCCAGAAAAUGAAUUUGAUGAAUCACAUUGCAAGAGAGGACUAAAGUUAGCAUCUAAGUCAGCUUCAUCCAGAACCUACAAGCUAUGUAAUAAUUUUGAGCUUUACUUUUCAUCUAUGCAAUGGGGGAAACUGCUUGCAUUCAUGUGAAUGUCAUGAUUAUUAUAUUAAACACUUUAU